AGAGUUUGAUCUUGGCUCAGGAUGAACGCUAGCUACAGGCUUGACACAUGCAAGUCGAGGGGCAGCAUGAAUCAAGCUUGCUUGAUUUGAUGGCGACCGGCGCACGGGUGAGUAACACGUAUCCAACCUUCCCCCUACUCGGGCAUAGCCCAUCGAAAGAUGGAUUAACUCCCGAUGGCCUCACAUGAUCGCAUGUUAAUGUGAGUAAAGUUCACGGUAAGGGAUGGGGAUGCGUUCCAUUAGCUUGUUGGCGGGGUAACGGCCCACCAAGGCAACGAUGGAUAGGGGUUCUGAGAGGAAGGUCCCCCACAUUGGAACUGAGACACGGUCCAAACUCCUACGGGAGGCAGCAGUGAAGAAUAUUGGUCAAUGGCCGUAAGGCUGAACCAGCCAAGUAGCGUGAAGGAUGACCGCCCUAUGGGUCGUAACUUCUUUUAUAAAGGAAUAAAGUCACCUACGUGUAGGUGUUUGUAUGUACUUUAUGAAUAAGCAUCGGCUAACUCCGUGCCAGCAGCCGCGGUAAUACGGAGGAUGCGAGCGUUAUCCGGAUUUAUUGGGUUUAAAGGGAGCGCAGACGGGCUGUUAAGUCAGCUGUGAAAUGCCGCGGCUCAACCGUGGACCUGCAGUUGAUACUGGCGGCCUUGAGUGCGGUUGAGGCAGGCGGAAUUCGUGGUGUAGCGGUGAAAUGCUUAGAUAUCACGAAGAACCCCGAUUGCGAAGGCAGCCUGCCAAUCCGUUACUGACGUUCAUGCUCGAAGGUGCGGGUAUCAAACAGGAUUAGAUACCCUGGUAGUCCGCACGGUAAACGAUGGACACUCGCUGUUGGCGACACACUGUCAGCGGCUUAGCGA
rnacentral:rRNA from 1 species